rnacentral:lncRNA from 1 species
AGAUACAGCUGCAGGAGUCAGGACCUGGCCUUGUGAAACCUUCACAGUCAUUCUCCCUCACUUGUUCUGUCACUGGUUACACCAUUACCAGUGGUUAUGAUUGGAGCUGGAUCCGGAAGUUCCCAGGAAAUAAAAUGGAGUGGAUGGGAUACAUAAGCAACAGUGGUAGCACUAACUACAACCCAUCGCUCAAAAGUCGAAUCUCCAUUACUAGAGACACAUCCAAGAAUCAGUUCUUCCUGUAGUUGAACUCUGUAACUACUGAGGAUACAGCCACAUAUUACUGUGCAAG